UACGUAGGGGGCAAGCGUUGUCCGGAUUUAUUGGGCGUAAAGAGCGUGUAGGCGGCCAUGUAGGUCCGUUGUGAAAACUCGAGGCUCAACCUCGAGACGCCGAUGGAAACCAUGUGGCUAGAGUCCGGAAGAGGAGAGUGGAAUUCCUGGUGUAGCGGUGAAAUGCGCAGAUAUCAGGAGGAACACCAAUGGCGAAGGCAGCACUCUGGGACGUGACUGACGCUGAGACGCGAAAGCGUGGGGAGCAAACAGG
rnacentral:rRNA from 1 species